GGGGGCGACCUGGCUUCGACGUGGGUUGCAAAGCAAAGCAGGGCAUACCGAGGACCAGUCACCUCGUAAAUCCAUCUGGAACGCAAUAAACGCUAACGACGAACGUUACGCUUUAGCCGCCUAACACCGGCUAAACUCUGCACCGGCAUUUUCGCGGGCCGGACCCCGAGUCUGAGUUGAUCGCAAGGUCAGCAAAGGCAAGGACGCAGAGUCAUAUACGCGGAAUCGCGCUGAUCAGGGUUACUUUGUUCAGCGUUAAAUCCAAGGUGACUCGCCCGAUGCAAGCCCGUCGGCUGGCGUGCAAAGGGUUAAAUCAAACAGCCUGACUAAGUAUGUAGAACUGCCUGUAGAGGACUUGCGGACGCGGGUUCGAUUCCCGCCGCCUCCACCA
rnacentral:tmRNA from 1 species